GUUUUUGUGGUGUAAUAAAACACAUUACACUUUCACUGUAAAAUCAAAGUCCAGCACUUUUAAAAACU
rnacentral:tRNA from 1 species